GAACAUUAACAAUAUAUACAGUCUUCAUUCUUUUAGAAACUUUCUUAUUAAAGGAGGCUUGCAGUUUUUCUUUCCUAACUUAAUGAACUUUUUAAAGACAUCUUAACAACAAAGCUAGCUAUAUUAUGAGGGUUUUAGGGUUUGGGUUUUAGAUGAAAAUGUAAGUAUCUUUCUGUAAUUGAUCUGUACAAUUAGCUUUUUCACUUUUUCUUUGAAAACAAAAUACCCAAUAGUUUAUUCCUCUGUUAGCCCUUAAAUCUUUUUUCCUUAGUAAUAAUUUUGGUGUUGCUCAUCCUCUACGUUGAUACUCUUUAACUUUUUCUCUGAGCCUUCCCAACAAUUUCAAGGUACUUUAUUAAGAAGAGGUAUGCAACAGCUCUGAUUUUUUUCAGUUAUUUUUCCUUUCCUGUGUUCACUAGUUAAUUACCUUGAUUAGCUGUUUCCUCCUUAAAGCUUCAGAGUCAGAGGUUAAGGCUGGAGUACAGUCGCUAUUCACAGAUAUGAUCAUGGCACACUACAGCCACAGACUCCUGGCCUCAAGGGAUCCUCUCACCUCAGCCUCCUGAGUAGCUGGGACUACAGGCAUAUGCCACUUCGCCCAGCUAAUUCUUAUAUUUGCACCUCCUAAUACCUCUAAGCAAGUUAUAAAAUAUAUAGUGUCUCUGUAUUUUUUAUAGUUAAGCAACCUUAGACCUGUGAAGCUUAUUAACCUAAUUUCAAAUGGGUAAAUGGUCUUAAAACCCUGGUGCUUUGACUAUGGUUCUAAUAUUUUCUGCUCUUUUAUGCUGCUGAGAUUCUUAUUCUGAAAUUCAAGAAAGGACCUUUGACAUUUCUUUAUCUCCUAUUUAAAAUUCUGGUUAUUUCAUUUAUAGGAAUGCUUAUGUCUCAUCUGAAACAUACUUAUAGAAUGAACGAACCAUUUCUCCCAUGAAAUGGGUUACUUACCUAUUGACAUAAUGCUAAUUGCCCUUUUGUAAAAAAAAAAAAAAAAAAAAAAAAAAAA